rnacentral:lncRNA from 1 species
GCGCGUAACCCCCUCGCCGCCUGUGCCCAGCCCAGCGCGCCGCCCCUGCGCGCCUCCGCCAGCAUCCCCUCCCGGCCCGCACCCCGCCUCCCCUGAGCUCGCGGCUCCUCCCACUGCAGCCCGGGUGACACCCCAGAGCUCUCGACCCCUGACCUCUAACCUCGCUCGUCUCUUCUGGCUGAGUCCCCACCCCACCUCCCUGUCGCGCCAGUCGCGUUGUUGCCGUUUCAAUGCGGCGGACUGGAGGUCGAGAUGAAAGGGAGUGGAAAGGUGUCUCAAGGAGCAGGCUCCCCUCUCCUGCCCUAGACACCGUGUUGGGGCCUCCGUGUCCCCAUCCUUGAGGCCGGUGAUCUUCAGGCUAUGGCUUCUGUCACAGCUCAAGGCAUUCUUCAUGUCAGGGUGAUACACAGAGGUUUUGAGAGCAGAAAUGCAAGUGGAAAGAAAUAUCUCAGUGUGACAGGGAAGAGAAGCCCCCAACUGACCAGAGCUGGAGUGCAGAAGGAUGAAUCACCUAGGGAAUAGUAAAUUGACUGUAGUGACAGCCUUAAAGUCCUCUCUGGACUGUGCCCUUUCAAGCCCUUCGGUCAUUCUGAGAAGAGUGACAAGCUGAUGAAUUGGAAUGGGUGAGGAGAAAGAAAAUCCAUUACAGCCUCCCGCACCUGAUUCAUUUGUUCAUUCAAUAAAUAUUUAUUGAACACCUACUAUCUGCCAGAAGCUGUUCCAGGGACCAGACAAACCCAUGA